rnacentral:lncRNA from 10 species
GUCACAUGAUCCUAAGGCUUCAGGAAUCGGAGGAAGUGGCUGACACUGACUUACCAUUUUAACCAAACAAUCACUGCACUUAAGCUUGGAUAAGGGUCAAAUAAAACUAACAGGGCUCUUAUGCAAGCCCUUCCAGUCUGGUAAGUUAUGAGUAUUUAUGUUUUAUUUCCCCCCAAAAACAAUAAGACCCUCAGAGGCAAGGAACUCAUCUUGGUUUUUGUCCCUUACACACCUAUCUCAGUCCAGUGGUAUGAUGGGCACUGGAAACAAACCACCUGGUUCAAAUCCUGGCUUGGUCACUUAUUGGCCAAGUGGCCUGAUAUGGUUUGGCUGUGUCCCCACCCAAAUCUCAUCUUGAAUUGUUAGCUCCCAUAAUUCCCAUGUGUUGUGGGAGGGACCUGGUGGGAGAGAAUUGAAUCAUGGGGGCGGUUUCCCCCAUAUUGUUCUCGUGGUAGUGAAUAUGUCUCACGAGAUCUGAGGGUUUUAUAAGGGGUUUCUCCUCUUGCUUGGCUCUCAUUCUUGUUUUGCCUGCCACCAUGUAAGAUGUGGCUUUGCUCCUCCUUGCCUUUGUCAUGAUUGUGAGGCCUCCCCAGCCCUCCCCAGGUGACACAUUGGAACUGUGAGUCAAUUAAACCUUUCCUAUAUAAAUUA